GAUGAACGCUGGCGGCGUGCUUAACACAUGCAAGUCGAACGAUGAAGCCCAGCUUGCUGGGUGGAUUAGUGGCGAACGGGUGAGUAACACGUGAGUAACCUGCCCUUAACUCUGGGAUAAGCCUGGGAAACUGGGUCUAGUACCGGAUAGGAGCGCCUACCGCAUGGUGGGUGUUGGAAAGAUUUAUCGGUUUUGGAUGGACUCGCGGCCUAUCAGCUUGUUGGUGAGGUAAUGGCUCACCAAGGCGACGACGGGUAGCCGGCCUGAGAGGGUGACCGGCCACACUGGGACUGAGACACGGCCCAGACUCCUACGGGAGGCAGCAGUGGGGAAUAUUGCACAAUGGGCGAAAGCCUGAUGCAGCGACGCCGCGUGAGGGAUGACGGCCUUCGGGUUGUAAACCUCUUUCAGUAGGGAAGAAGCGAAAGUGACGGUACCUGCAGAAGAAGCACCGGCUAACUACGUG
rnacentral:rRNA from 1 species